GAUGAACGCUAGCGGCAGGCUUAAUACAUGCAAGUCGAGGGGCAGCGCAGUGUAGCAAUACAUGGGCGGCGACCGGCAAACGGGUGCGGAACACGUACACAACCUUCCUACAAGUGGGGAAUAGCCCAGAGAAAUUUGGAUUAAUACCCCGUAACAUAGCGAUGUGGCAUCACAUUGCUAUUAUAGCUUCGGCGCUUGUUGAUGGGUGUGCGGCUGAUUAGAUAGUUGGCGGGGUAACGGCCCACCAAGUCUACGAUCAGUAGCUGAUGUGAGAGCAUGAUCAGCCACACGGGCACUGAGACACGGGCCCGACUCCUACGGGAGGCAGCAGUAAGGAAUAUUGGACAAUGGACGCAAGUCUGAUCCAGCCAUGCCGCGUGAAGGAUUAAGGUCCUCUGGAUUGUAAACUUCUUUUAUAAGGGACGAAAAAAGGUCUUUCUAGAUCGUCUGACGGUACCUUAUGAAUAAGCACCGGCUAACUCCGUGCCAGCCGCCGCCUAAGAC
rnacentral:rRNA from 1 species